GACGUAGGGCGCGAGCGUUGUCCGGAUUUAUUGGGCGUAAAGAGCUCGUAGGCGGCUUGUCGCGUCGACUGUGAAAACUCGGGGCUCAACUCCGAGCUUGCAGUCGAUACGGGCAGGCUAGAGUUCGGUAGGGGAGACUGGAAUUCCUGGUGUAGCGGUGAAAUGCGCAGAUAUCAGGAAGAACACCCGUGGCGAAGGCGGUUCUCUGGGACGGUACUGACGCUGAGACGCGAAAGCGUGGGGAGCAAACAGG
rnacentral:rRNA from 1 species